GUCAAUCUGGAUUCUGAAACUAAGUUGCAAUCAUGCAUCGAGACAGAAUCAAGAUUAUUGAAUGAACAACGUUCAUCUUACAAAGAUGUUUGAUAUUGUGCAUUGAUAUGAUUGAUAUGUGCAUUUGAAAGUUAUUAUGUGUUGCGAAUUGUGCUGUCGUGUUUACUUAGUCAAUAUGAGUAAACAAGUAAAGGGCUGUUGUGUACUAGGAUGCACGAAUAAGCAAGCGAAAAGAUAUUCCAUUCCUACAAAUGAAGACGUUUGCAGAAUUUGGUUGCAAAGAAUAAAUAACCCCAAGUUAAUAAUUGCAGAUACAAUAUUAACAUCACAUAGAAUAUGUGAUAUUCAUUUUGAAUCAAUUUGUAGAAACCCCAAUGGCAGGUUAAAAAAACUUUCACUGCCAAUUCAACAUUUACAUAGUUACGAAAUAGGUGAAAAUGAUAUUUUUUGUGUACAGGAGCAACCAUCUUCAUUUUCAACUCCAAAAAGGCUGAAAGGCAUUGAAUUUAUAAAGUACAUUAUUAGAUAAGAGUUGUCUUUAUCUUUUAGGCGAUUUCUUAAAAAACCAAAUGUUGCAGAAGCCUGCGAAUCUUUUAUUGGCUUAGCUAAACGGUGUGAAACUUUGUAGUUACCUGUGUAUGCAGGAUUGCGUUGAUAGCUGCAGCCAGAUGUGAAGGAUCUUUAUUUAAUAAAACUGGUGAAACAACAUGUUUGACUCAAUCCACUGAUCAGUUAUUGAAAGCUGAAGAAAGUGACAAAUCAUUUGUGAAUCAUUGUUUGGUGAAAACUUACAAAUGAUUAUUUGGCACCACUGGCAACAUUCUUUGAAAUCUCUAAAUUAAUUGAAAAUUCUUUAAUGAAUGGUUCCAAAUUGGAUAAAUUAUUGACAUGCGAAAUAAACUGUGUUUUCUUAUUGCUAAUUCUUCGACCAAGUCCACAAAAAUUGACACCGAAUUUAACUAAAAUCUUAAAGAAAUAUACUUGGGACGAUUUCAAUGAUGGAAGUCUAACAGCUUGCAGGAUGUCCCAAAGUAUGUUCUACCUUGUUAGAUCACUAGUAACAGUUUUCCAGUCAUUGGAUAGGAGUAGUUUAAUUUGGAAACAGAUUUUUGGAAAGUUUUAUCAAAAGAACAAAAGGAACUCUUGAGGAUCUUGUUGAAAAUAUAUGAUGUAUGAAUGUGUAUUAAUUUGACUUGUAAAUUGAAUGCAUCAUACAAAGUCUAAGGAUACUUUUCGCGAUGUUUUAUUAACACAUACAGAUCAAAGAGGAAUCCAUGAUGCAAAUGUAUCCACUAUAAGGCCAUUAUGGAUCUCCAUUCUACUUCCUAGCAUCAUGCUGUGCAUUUUAAAGAAGCACGAAAACAUAGAGGAAGGCUUUUGCCCAAAUGGACGUAGGUACUAAUUAAAGAUGAAACUAAAAUUGAUUAGUGACGAUAAUAGAAAGGAUCUAGAAAGAAUCAGGUCAUUAAAGGUACUUUUUAUCAAGGCAGUAUUGUAAUAAAUAUAGAAAUAAUGUUCAACUACCCCCAUCAAUGGGCUUACCUCAAAAUAUGCCCCAUAGGUAACCCAGAUCGCGCAAAAAAGAUUUGUGACGCACUGGAAGCAAGACAUAUCAGAGAUUGAAUUAGCCAGCCAAGUCUCCUGAUAUGAAUCCAAUUGAAAACACAGGUUUCUAUCACUAGAUGCAUUCACAAUUGUAAACCUCAGAUGAGUUAGUCGCAGUGAAGUUAAGAGAAACGAGAUACCAUUAAUUGCUUGGUUAUUUCAAUGCACAGGCGCUUCAAUCUGCUAUUGGAAAGUAUAGAAUGGCAUAUCGACUGUUGAUCAUAGUUCCGUAUGUUUUAUUACGUAUUUUUCUUUUAAUAAACUUCUGUACUAGUAUGUAAAAAACCAAUUUUUUAAUAAAUAACACAUUCAGCAAA